rnacentral:rRNA from 1 species
AUACGGAGGAUCCGAGCGUUAUCCGGAUUUAUUGGGUUUAAAGGGUGCGCAGGCGGCCAUUUAAGUCAGCGGUUAAAUCGUGGGGCUCAACCCCAUUCUGCCGUUGAUACUGGGUGGCUUGAUUGCGGUCGAGGUUGGCGGAAUUCGUUGUGUAGCGGUGAAAUGCAUAGAUAUGACGAAGAACACCGAUUGCGUAGGCAGCUGACCAGACCGCAAAUGACGCUCAUGCACGAAAGUGCGGGGAUCGGACAGGAUUAGAUACCCUGGUAGUCCGCACAGUAAACGAUGAAUACUUGUUUUCGGCGAUAUAAUGUCGGAGGCAAAGCGAAAGCGAUAAGUAUUCCACCUGGGGAGUACGCCGGCAACGGUGAAACUCAAAUGAAUUGACGGGG